GCUAGUUGCUAGCGAGCGGACGAGAGGCGGUGCAACUGUCAGUGUUUUGAAGGAUGUCAAUGAAAAGAAAACUGGAUAUAAGAGACUUCUUUAGGAGUCAAACUGUGACAGACAGCAGAGAGGCUGGAGGAGAUGGAGGAGGAGAGGCCAGAGAAGUUAGAGGAAGAGAGGCAGGAGGAAGUAGAGAAGGAGAGGCUGGAGAUUAUUACAGUUAAUUUAUGUUUAUUUACAAUGUUGUAUUGCAUUAAUGUAAUUCUGAUGUUGUUGAUGGA